rnacentral:rRNA from 1 species
AAGGACUGGUGGAGUGCUUAGAAGUGAGAAUGCCGGUAUGAGUAGCGAAAGACGGGUGAGAAUCCCGUCCACCGAAUGCCUAAGGUUUCCUGAGGAAGGCUCGUCCGCUCAGGGUUAGUCAGGACCUAAGCCGAGGCCGACAGGCGUAGGCGAUGGACAACAGGUUGAUAUUCCUGUACCACCUCUUUAUCGUUUGAGCAAUGGAGGGACGCAGAAGGAUAGAAGAAGCGUGCGAUUGGUUGUGCACGUCCAAGCAGUUAGGCUGAUAAGUAGGCAAAUCCGCUUAUCGUGAAGGCUGAGCUGUGAUGGGGAAGCUCCUUAUGGAGCGAAGUCUUUGAUUCCCCGCUGCCAAGAAAAGCUUCUAGCGAGAUAAAAGGUGCCUGUACCGCAAACCGACACAGGUAGGCGAGGAGAGAAUCCUAAGGUGUGCGAGAGAACUCUGGUUAAGGAACUCGGCAAAAUGACCCCGUAACUUCGGGAGAAGGGGUGCUUUCUUAACGGAAAGCCGCAGUGAAUAGGCCCAAGCGACUGUUUAGCAAAAACACAGCUCUCUGCGAAGCCGUAAGGCGAAGUAUAGGGGGUGACACCUGCCCGGUGCUGGAAGGUUAAGGAGAGGGGUUAGCGUAAGCGAAGCUCUGAACUGAAGCCCCAGUAAACGGCGGCCGUAACUAUAACGGUCCUAAGGUAGCGAAAUUCCUUGUCGGGUAAGUUCCGACCCGCACGAAAGGUGUAACGAUUUGGGCACUGUCUCAACCAGAGACUCGGUGAAAUUAUAGUACCUGUGAAGAUGCAGGUUACCCGCGACAGGACGGAAAGACCCCGUGGAGCUUUACUGUAGCCUGAUAUUGAAUUUUGGUACAGUUUGUACAGGAUAGGCGGGAGCCUUUGAAACCGGAGCGCUAGCUUCGGUGGAGGCGCUGGUGGGAUACCGCCCUGACUGUAUUGAAAUUCUAACCUACGGGUCUUAUCGACCCGGGAGACAGUGUCAGGUGGGCAGUUUGACUGGGGCGGUCGCCUCCUAAAGUGUAACGGAGGCGCCCAAAGGUUCCCUCAGAAUGGUUGGAAAUCAUUCGUAGAGUGCAAAGGCAUAAGGGAGCUUGACUGCGAGACCUACAAGUCGAGCAGGGACGAAAGUCGGGCUUAGUGAUCCGGUGGUUCCGCAUGGAAGGGCCAUCGCUCAACGGAUAAAAGCUACCCCGGGGAUAACAGGCUUAUCUCCCCCAAGAGUCCACAUCGACGGGGAGGUUUGGCACCUCGAUGUCGGCUCAUCGCAUCCUGGGGCUGUAGUCGGUCCCAAGGGUUGGGCUGUUCGCCCAUUAAAGCGGUACGCGAGCUGGGUUCAGAACGUCGUGAGACAGUUCGGUCCCUAUCCGUCGUGGGCGUAGGAAAUUUGAGAGGAGCUGUCCUUAGUACGAGAGGACCGGGAUGGACGCACCGCUGGUGUACCAGUUGUUCUGCCAAGGGCAU